CAUCCUUAUCUGUGGAUAGGAGAGACUGUGUAAUGCUCUCCAUUAUACUCUUCUGCUCAGUGAGAAUGUGGCUAAGCUGAUACAUCUCACUUUCCAGAGCUGACAUGUGAAACCAUGGGAGACUGAUUUUGAUGUCCUAGCAAGCCAGUUAUCUACAAAUGAUCCAAUAAUCAAUAAGGGGACAGUCCUAAUGCAGUGGAAGAGAUAGAAAAAUGGCUACCGAGACUGCACAGCCUUGUGGUGGGACCAGGUCAAGGGAGAGAAGACUUGUUACUGAAAACAACCAAGGCAUGUGGAAUAUAUUCCCUCUCCCUUGCAUUCAAAACAGUCUCUCAGGCCAGCUGUUUGAACAUAAGCACAAAACUGAAGUCAUAUUUUUAACAGUUGUUAGAUAGAAAACAGUGAUGAAUUUAAGCUGCACAACACAACUCAUGUUUAUUUCUCACACUUUUUUCUCUCUCUUUUAAAUCAAAUCAAAAUCAAAUCCCUUUAUUGUCACUCAACCAUAUACACAAGUGCAACAGUGGGUGAAAGUCUUGGGUGUGGUUCCAAGCAACAUAGCUGUAUGACAAUUACAAUAAACAUCUAAUUUACACAUAACACAGUUUACACAUCUGUUACACAACACAAUAUACACCUAAUAAUAUACAAUAUACAGAAUACACAAAAUAAGAAGACUGUAUACAAUAAAAAUAAUAUACAUUAUACACAAAAUAAGAAGACUGUAUACAAUAAAAAUACACUGUCAGCAAUAGCAUGUCAGAGUGUGCACCUCCUCUCUGUAGGCCGUUUCAUCAUUGUCAGUGAUCAGACCUACCACCGUCGUAUCAUCAGCAAACUUAAUGAUGGCAUUGGAGCUAUGUGUUGCCACACAGUCAUGUGUGUACAGGGAAUACAGUAGUGGGCUGAGAACACAGCCCUGCGGGGCUCCAGUGUUGAGGGUCAGUAAUGAGGAGAUGUUGCUGCCCAUUCUAACCACCUGGCAUCUGCUUGACAGGAA